CCCCUAGAUGUUCUGGGCCGCACGCGCGCUACACUGAACAGUUCAACAAGUCUUAACCUUGGCCGAUAGGUCUGGGUAAUCUUUGAACGCUGUUCGUGAUUGGGAUAGACCUUUGCAAUUAUGGGUCUUCAACGGGGAAUUCCUAGUAAACGCAAGUCAUCAGCUUGCAUUGAUUACGUCCCUGCCCUUUGUACACACCGCCCGUCGCACCUACCGAUUGAAUGGUCCGGUGAAAUCUCGGGACGGCGGCUUGGUCGCUUGCGUCCGACUGCUGAAACUUGAUUAAACCAUNUNAUUUAGNGGAAGGUGAANUCGUANCA
rnacentral:rRNA from 1 species